rnacentral:snoRNA from 1 species
AACCCAUGGUGUGGACAUCUCCUUAGCAAAUCCUUAUACCUCUACCAAGCCUCAUACAAAGUUUCAAAAUCAAGUUGCACAAAAGAGGUGAUAUCCUUACACAUCUU